UUAGGAAUCUUCCCCAAUGGGCGCAAGCCUGAGGGAGCGACACUGCGUGAAGGACGAAGGUUUUCGGAUCGUAAACUUCUGAACGAGGGACGAAUAAUGACGGUACCUCGCUAAAAGCACCGGCUAACUCCGUGCCAGCAGCCGCGGUAAUACGGAGGGUGCAAGCGUUAUCCGGAUUCACUGGGCGUAAAGGGCACGUAGGCGGUCUAGUAAGUCCGAUGUUAAUGCGUGGGGCUCAACCCCAUCACGGCGUUGCAUACUGCUAGGCUUGACGACGGGAGAGGUGAGUAGAAUUACCAGUGUAGCGGUGGAAUGCGUAGAUACUGGUAGGAAUACCCAUUGCGAAGGCAGCUCACUGGACAGGAACUGACGCUGAGGCACGAAAGCGUGGGGAGCAAACAGGAUUAGAUACCCCGGUAGUCC
rnacentral:rRNA from 1 species